CAGAUAUCCGUUUGGGAAUUCCAAGUCUGGGACAAUCCAUGGUUACAUAAGAAAACACUUGUUAGUUACUCUUGUACAACACAGUGAGCAGGAGUUACACAGAAACACAUACUGAUAUCACACUGAAACAAAUUUAUUUAACAAAUGUUUAACAAUCAUUUCUUUUCUGAGUGUCUUAUUUAACUUAGUAUGUAUGUAUAAAAUGGUUUUUUUUUUUUUUUUUUUAAUAAAUCACUAAAUGGCUUAUAUAAAAGACUUUCAACAAUCUCAUCAACAAAAUCAGACAAACAAAGAUGCACCCACACACAUAUGUUAGGGGCACCUUUUAGGCUCUUUAAUAAUUUUAUUUUGUUGAGAUUUCUUUAGUCCCAGCAAACCUGCCUCCACUCUCUUAACCUGCAAAACCCUUCAGUUCUCUAAUCAGAGGGCAUGGAAGUGCAGCAUCAAGCCAUGUCUCCAAGCCCUCUGAGUAUGUAUGUCAGAAUGUAUCUAUCUAUCUGUAUGUAUGUGUAUGUAUAUAUGUAUGUCAGUAUGUGUAUGUAUAUGUCUUUCUGUCUGUAUGUAUGUCAGUAUGUAUGUAUGUCUGUCGGUAUGUAUGUAUGUCAGAAUGUAUAUGUGUGUGGAUGUAUGUCUUAUGCGUGUGUGUGUGUGUGUUUGUAUGUUAGUAUGUGUCUGUAUAUGUCUGUGUGUCUGAUUCAGUAUGUGUGUAUGUCUGUUAGUAUGUAUGUGUAUGUGUCAGUAUGUGUGUAUCUUUGUGUCUUUUUUGUAUCAGUUCGUGUGUUUGUGUCUGUGUUUGUGUAUUCCUGUGGGCAGGUUUAAAGAGUGGAUUUGGGGGCAGGCUUGGAGGUGGGCCCCCGGGGGCCCAGACCUUGAGCAGUGUUAGGGGCCUCAAAAUUUCUGAUGGAUCAGUGUGAUUAUGCAAAACAGACUCCGGUGUCGGGUUUCUCUCUUCUGUUGUUGCACAAUACUGCCCUGUUUCAGCUAUAAGUGGAAAAUGCAGAUGGGUGGGUAAAAGGGAAGGGGGAUAUCCUGACGAAACUCCCCUAGCUGACAGGCGCACCCAACAAUGCAAACUAACAAUGUUUAUAUUAAGUUUAUAAACAUUUAUUACCGCCUUACCAAGAUUUUUUUUUUUUUUUUGCUUUAUUUUGUUUAUUUUGUUUUGCAUAUUUGUCUAAAAGUGUUUGCUUUCUGGUUUACAAAAUUUUUUUGAAUGAUGCAUGUCCCUUUAAUUAUCUCCUUCUCUCCUAAUUUAUAUGCUGGAGAAGAUUCUAGGCAGAAUAAACUCCCUCAUGGUUAUUUAUUUAUUUAUCAAAUAUUUUGCCAGGAAGAAUAAAUUGAGAUUUCUUUAUUUCUUUAUUUUGGGUACACAAACAUUGCAUUGCUACAAUAGGGUACAAUAGAAUAUUAGAAAUACAAAAUAAUAUUAAAAAUAUGCAUGUAUAACUUUAACACAGAAUAGGUUAGAAAUAUAACCACCCAUGAUUACAGGUGCAUUCUGUAUUUAGAUAUGCUGAUAGAGAUCUCUUAAAGGAAGAUGUAGUUGUGUCCAUGAGGUUAUUCUAAAAUUGCCGUGCUCUGUAAGAAAAUGAGGAUCAAGCUACUUUCUAUUAUUUACUAAAGUGUGAAUUGUCAGGAAUUCAAAUUGAAAUUCAAAGUGCAUUUUACAUUUUCGACAAAUAUUCUACAGUUCAAUUCUUUUCCAGGUUGUCUAUUGCGGUCAGUUUUGGUUUGAGUUCACGUUGAACUCAAUCUCUCUCUUUCUCGCUCUGUCUCUCAAACAUAUCCCUUGGCAUGUUGGUAAAAAGAAAGGGAUAACAUUAAUGGCAUCAGUUAUGAGCUAUAACUGCCUUCAAAAAAUGGAAUGAAAUACCCAUAUAACAGUAAACAUACAUUUUGACCUUUAAACCGUAUACAGGGACUGAACCGUCUUUUGAAAUACAUUGAUCAUGUUCAGAUACUCCAAAUCUUAUCCUUAAUGUAAUAUGUGGCAGAACACCAGCCCAUAAAGGGUCCUGAGAGUGAAAACAACCCAGGUGAUGCUUAGAGGAGAUGGCAUGUUGCCAAACCUACAAGGGUCAGACAGGAGUUUUCAUGGGGAGUCGGGCAUUACUGGAGAUGGCUGCUUAUGGGUUUCUUGUGAAAUGUUGUUAAAUUAAAAAAAAUAUAUAGGCACCUAAUUUAUUGCAGCACGUGUUACCUGCUGUAUUCCAAACGUGAACAGAACUGUAAACUGUGGUGUCCGGCAGUAAGGUUGCGUGGCUAGUUAUGUAUGUGUGUCUGCAUCUGGCUAUUUAGAUAUGUGUGAGUGGCUAAUUAUGACCUCGAUGUAAUAAGCUUUCCGAAUGAUUUAAUAUAGAUAGAAAUACUUUCCAGAUAAUUUAU
rnacentral:lncRNA from 1 species